rnacentral:tRNA from 1 species
GCACCGGUGGUGUAAGGCGAACAUCGCUGCCCGGAAAGCAGAAGAUGCGGGUUCGGGUCCCGCCUGGCGCA